GUUUGAUCAUGGCUCAGAUUGAACGCUGGCGGCAGGCCUAACACAUGCAAGUCGAGCGGUAGCACAGAGAGCUUGCUCUCGGGUGACGAGCGGCGGACGGGUGAGUAAUGUCUGGGAAACUGCCUGAUGGAGGGGGAUAACUACUGGAAACGGUAGCUAAUACCGCAUAACGUCGCAAGACCAAAGUGGGGGACCUUCGGGCCUCAUGCCAUCAGAUGUGCCCAGAUGGGAUUAGCUAGUAGGUGGGGUAAUGGCUCACCUCGGCGACGA
rnacentral:rRNA from 1 species